rnacentral:rRNA from 1 species
UGAGGAAUAUUGGACAAUGGGCGCAAGCCUGAUCCAGCCAUGCCGCGUGCAGGAAGAAGCAUCUAUGGUGUGUAAACUGCUUUUGUACGGGCAGAAACACUCCUACGUGUAGGAGCUUGACGGUACCGUAAGAAUAAGGAUCGGCUAACUCCGUGCCAGCAGCCGCGGUAAUACGGAGGAUCCAAGCGCUAUCCGGAAUCAUUGGGUUUAAAGGGUCCGUAGGCGGUUUAGUAAGUCAGUGGUGAGAGCCCAUCGCUCAACGAUGGAACGGCCAUUGAUACUGCUAGACUUGAAUUAUUAGGAAGUAACUAGAAUAGGUAGUGUAGCGGUGAAAUGCUUAGAUGUUGCAUGGAAUACCAAUUGCGAAGGCAGGUUACUACUAAUGGAUUGGCGCUCAUGCACGAAAGCGUGGGGAACAAA